rnacentral:lncRNA from 1 species
GUCUUGCUCCAUAUUGCUUGUGUUUCUUGCGCCUGCAUCCUCACCGCAGCUCGGUGUUGGGUCAAUUAGGCCAUUCGAGUCAUAUGAUGAAACUAGAAAAGAAAUAGACUGAGAACAUAAGAGUGGGAAACAAAGAAUUAUGUUCUGCCGCCAAACCAAGAACGGAAAGAGACUCCUAUAGAUCGAAUACCAGACUGAAGUCCAGUGAGAAAGUAGUCUGCAGCAAUCGGGUCAGGUCAUCAAGGGGAGUUCUGGGAAAUAAAUUAGUAUUGGAUGGGCUGUAGAAAAAGAAUGAACUAAAGCGUGGGCAAGGGCCAGGCAUAAUAAUUGCUAUAUAUAAUUAAGUAAUCAAUAAGAUCGGUCUGCAAGUCAGAUAGAGUUAGUUCGGGUCGGGGUGUCAUGUCAUAGAUGUGGGUGCCGCGUAUGGGUCCUGUCACAAGAUGGUACUCUCUUUUGACUACCCUAGCAACAAAGCCGGUAUAAACCCUUUCUUAGACAAUAAAUCUUAUAGUGAGAAAGGACUCUUUUGGCCCCUAAGGGGGUAGCAAAUGUCAUAUAUUACCUAAAACGAUCCAAAGUGAGAAAUCCUUUAGUUGAUGCCCCUAUUCUUGGG